GACCCUUUUUCUUUAUCACCAAUCUUUGAACAUAAUAUGAAAUGCUUGAUGUUAAAAUCCCCUCUUCAUUGAAAGAACAGAACUUUAACAAGUACUAUAAAGAAAAAAAAAAAAAAGAACUCAAGGAGGAAGAGAGAGAGAUACAGCGAAGGCAGCAGCAAGGAGGUUCGUUUUGUCUAUCAUGUCGCAAGUGAUCUUGCUUAGUGCAGAUGAGGAUGACCGCG
rnacentral:misc_RNA from 1 species